rnacentral:tRNA from 1 species
GGGCCAUUAGCUCAAUUGGUAGAGCAACUGACUCUUAAUCAGUAGGUCCUGGGUUCGAUUCCCCGAUGGCCCA